GCCAGACUCCUACGGGAGGCAGCAGUGGGGGAUAUUGCACAAUGGGGGAAACCCUGAUGCAGCGACGCCGCGUGUGGGAAGACGGUCCUCUGGAUUGUAAACCACUGUCCCCAGGGACGAAGAUGACGGUACCUGGGGAGGAAGCUCCGGCUAACUACGUGCCAGCAGCCGCGGUAAUACGUAGGGAGCAAGCGUUAUCCGGAUUUACUGGGUGUAAAGGGCGUGUAGGCGGGACUGCAAGUCAGAUGUGAAAAUUAUGGGCUCAACCCAUAACCUGCAUUUGAAACUGUAGUUCUUGAGUGAUGGAGAGGCAGGCGGAAUUCCGUGUGUAGCGGUGAAAUGCGUAGAUAUACGGAGGAACACCAGUGGCGAAGGCGGCCUGCUGGACGACAACUGACGGUGAGGCGCGAAAGCGUGGGGAGCAAACAGGAUUAGAUACCCUAGUAUA
rnacentral:rRNA from 1 species